rnacentral:rRNA from 1 species
AACGAACGCUGGCGGCAUGCCUAACACAUGCAAGUCGAACGAGACCUUCGGGUCUAGUGGCGCACGGGUGCGUAACGCGUGGGAACCUGCCCUUAGGUUCGGAAUACCUCCCCGAAAGGGGUGCUAAUACCGGUUAAUGUCUUCGGACCAAAGAUUUAUGGCCUUUGGAUGGGCCCGCGUUGGAUUAGCUAGUUGGUAGGGUAAAAGCCUGCCAAGGAGACGAUGCAGAGCUGGUCGGAGAGGAGGAUCAGCCACACUGGAACUGAGACACGGCCCAGAAUGCGACGGGAGGGAGGAGUGGAGAAUAUUAGAGGAGGAGGGAAAGUCCAAUAAAGCAACGCCGGGUGAGAGAGGAAGGGGUUAGGAUUGUAAAGCCGUUUGAGACGAGAUGAGAAUGACAGUACCGGGAGAAGAAGCACCGGCUAACUACGUG